UACGUAGGGGGCAAGCGUUGUCCGGAUUUAUUGGGCGUAAAGAGCGUGUAGGCGGCCACACAGGUCAGCUGUGAAAACUCGAGGCUCAACCUCGAGACGUCGGUUGAAACCGUAUGGCUAGAGUCCGGAAGAGGAGAGUGGAAUUCCUGGUGUAGCGGUGAAAUGCGCAGAUAUCAGGAGGAACACCGAUGGCGAAGGCAGGUCUCUGGGCCAUUACUGACGCUGAGAAGCGAAAGCAUGGGGAGCGAACAGG
rnacentral:rRNA from 1 species